rnacentral:rRNA from 1 species
GGGUCAGUAGGUUGGUCGUGCCACCGGUACGUACUGGUCUCACUGAUUCCUCCUUCCUGAAGAACCGUAAUGCCAUUAAUUUGGUGUUGCGGGGAAACAGGACUGUUACUUUGAAAAAAUUAGAGUGUUUAAAGCAAGCUAACGCUUGAAUACAUUAGCAUGGAAUAAUGAAAUAGGACGAUCGACCUUAUUUUGUUGGUUUCUAGGAUUGACGUA